rnacentral:rRNA from 1 species
CCCUUAGAUGUUCUGGGCCGCACGCGCGCUACACUGAUGCAUUCAACGAGUUUCUUCCUGGUCCGAGAGGAAUGGGUAACCUUUUGAAAGUGCAUCGUGAUAGGCAUAGACUAUUGCAAUUAUUGGUCUUCAACGAGGAAUUCCUAGUAGACGUAGUUCAUCAGACUGCAUCGAUUACGUCCCUGCCCUUUGUACACACCGCCCGUCGCUCCUACCGAUUGAAUGCUCAGGUGAGCCAUUCGGACUUUCAUCAUGCUGGUUUCCAGUUUUGAUGAAGGAAAGUCUUGCGAACCUUAUCAUUUAGAGGAAGGAGAAGUCGUAACA